rnacentral:rRNA from 1 species
UAAUUGCUAGCUUUAGUAAAACUGAACUAUAUGCUGGAAAAUCCUCGGGCCUCUUCUUUCCCCAGUUGCUUCGUGCUAAAGCGGGCAGAUGAAACUAUAAAGCAAAAAGAGGCUCAUCACUUUUUUUUACCGGAACUCCGUUCCGGCUUAAAGUGAUGAAAAAGAUGUCUUGUACGCUCGUAUUUUGCCACGAGCCGUGAUAAUCAAGCGUACAUGGGGACAAUCAGCAGGGAAGGAUGUUUGAUACACGCAGAGUAGAACUGGCAGUCUAGAAUCGGUCGGUAUCGCUAAACAUAACCCUCAGAGACUAUACGUUCGGAAGUCUUAAUAAUCAUAAUAAUAGGAGGAAAUUGAAAAUGGACAUUAAUCCUCAAUGGAUUACAGGUUUCGUAGAUGGGGAAGGUUGUUUUAGUGUAAGUAUUCUUAGAAAUAAUUCGUUGCGCUAUGGCCAUCAGCUUCAACCAGAAUUCGUAGUGACCCAACAUAAAUUAGAUGCAAAUGUUUUAUAUGCAUUAAAAGACUACUUUAAAGUUGGAUCAGUCGUUGUGAAUCAUGGGGAACGGCUUUGCUAUAAAGUCAAAAAUAUUGAUCACUUUAUAACCGUCAUUAUACCAUUUUUCGAAAAACAUGAGCUAAAAACAAAAAGAAGAAUUGAAUUUCUUCGAUUUCGAAAAAUCUGCUUGCUGUUAAAAGCAGGUAGACAUUUAGAAUCGCAGGAAGGAUUCGAGAAAGUGUUGGAUUUAGCAAAAAAACUCCGUAUCAAUGAGAAAAACUACCAGGAAUCUAUCAAACGUUUUGAAGAAACUGGCGAGUAAAAAAAAUAAGAUUUAAGAUAGAGUCCAGCCUAUUUUGAAGAAAAAUGGGGUAAAUCUG